UUUCCGUAGGUGAACCUGCGGAAGGAUCAUUAAUGUGUUUGGGUCCCCCCGGGGGCCCGACAUCCCACCCUCUUGUUGUCACAUACAAACGUUGCUUUGGCGGGACGGACGCGCGAGAGCGCAGCCGCCGGGCCUUCAAAUUCCCGGAGAGCUCCUGCCAGAGUCAUGCAAAACACAAGCCUUUGAACGAGUACGUCAGAGUUACAGAAUUUCUAAUAAUUCAAAACUUUCAACAACGGAUCUCUUGGUUCUGGCAUCGAUGAAGAACGCAGC
rnacentral:misc_RNA from 1 species